GAGGGUAUAGCUCAGUUGGUUAGAGCGCUUGCUUGACAUGCAAGAGGUCGAUGGUUCGAGUCCAUUUAUCCUCACCA
rnacentral:tRNA from 1 species